ACUGGGUAACGAUAACUUGGCUCUAUACCACACACUGGGUAACCGAUAACACUUGGCUCUAUACACACACCUGAGUAACGAUAACUUGCUCUAUACACACACUGGGUAACGAUAAACCUUGGCUCUUAUUACACACUGGGUAACGUAACUUGGCUUAUACACACACUGAGUAAUGAUAACUUGGCUCUUACACACUGUGGUAACGAUAACUUGGCUCUAUACACACCACUGGGUAACGAUACACUUGGCUCUAUACACACACUGGGUAACGAUAACUUGGCUCUAUACACACACUGGGUAAGAUAAUUGGCUCUAUACACGGGGGUACCCAGUAUUGAGUCAGUGUGUAGGGUACGAGGUAAGGGGGGUCCUAUGUAGAAAGUCUGGGUAGCUGCUGGCUAAACUAUUUAUCAGUCAUUACGGCUUGGGAAGAAGCUGGUCAGGGUCCUGUUGGUUCCAGACUUGGUGCAUCGGUACACUUGCCGUGCAGUAGCAGAGUGAGAGAACAGUCUAUGACGGGUGGCUUAGUCUGACAAUUUUUAGGGCCUUCCUCUGACACCGUCUGGUAUAGAGGUCCUGAUGCAGGAAGCUUGGCCCCAGUGUAUGUACUGGGCCGUACGCACUACCCUCUGUAGCGCCUUGCGGCGAGGCCGAGUGAAGUCCGUACCAAGCGGUGAUCCAGCCAGUCAAGAUGCGCUCAACUGUGCAACUGUAGAACUUUUGGAGGAUCUGGGGACUCAUGCCAAAUAUUUUCAGCCUGCGAGGGGGAAGACGCUUUGUCUGCCUUAUUGUUCUGUGUCCCAGUUGUUACAGCCUUCUGUCUGUGUGCUCCAGCCUUCUGUCUGUGUGCUCAAGCCUUCAUCUCUCUGUGUGUUCCAGCCCUUCUAUCUAUCUCUGUUGCUCCAGCCUUCUACUCUCUGGUGUUCACCUUCUAUCUCUUGUGUGCUCCAGCCUUCUAUCUCUCUGUGUGUUCCAGCCUUCUAUCUCUCUGUGUGUUCCCAGGCCUCUGUCGUGUGUUCCCAGCCUUCUAGUCUCUGUGCGUUCCAGCCUUCUAUCUCUCUGUGUGCUCCAGCCUUCUAUCUAUCUGUGUGUUCCAGCCUUCUAUCUCUCUGUGUGUUCCAGCCUUCUCUCCUCUCUGUGUGCUCCAGCCCUUCUAUCUCUCUGUGUGUGGCCAGCCUUCUAUCUCUUGUGUGCUCCAGCCUUCCUUCAUCUCUCUGUGUGCUCCAGCCUUCUAUCCUCUCUGUGUUCCAGCCUUCUAUCUCUCUGUGUGUUCCAGCCUUCAUUAUCUGUGGCUCCAGCCUUUCAUCUAUCUGGUGUUCCAGCCUUCUGUCUGUCUGUGUGCUCCAGCCUUCUAUCUCUCGUGUUCUCAGCUUCUAGUCUCUCUGAUGUGCUCAGCCUUCUAUCUCUCUGUGUGCUCCAUCCUAUUAUCUCUCUGCUGUGUCUCCCGCCUUCUAUCUCUCUGUGUGUUCCAGCCUUCUAUCUCUCUGUGUGCUCCAGCCUUCUAUCUCUCGUGUGUUCCAGCCUUCUCUUCUGUGUGCUCCAGCCUUCUAUCUCUCUGUGUGUUCCCGCCUUUACUUCUGUGUGUUCCAGCCUUCUAUCUAUCUGUGUGUUCCAGCCUCUAUCUCUCUGUGUGUUCCAGCCUUCUAUCUCUUCUGUGUGUUCCAGCCUUCUAUCCUUGUGUGUUCCCAGCUUCUAUCUCUCUGUGUGUUCCAGCCUUUCUAUCUCUCUGGUGUUCCACCUUCUAUCUAUCUGUGUGUUCCAGCCUUCUAUAUCUCUGUGUGUUCCAGCUUCAUCUCUCUGUGUGCUCAGCCUUCUGUCUGUUGUGCUCCAGCCUUCUAUCUCUCUGUGUGCUCCAGCCUUCUGUCGUGUUCCCAGCCUUCUAUCUGCUCUGUGUUGCUCCAGCCUUCUGUCUGUGUGCUCCAGCCUUCUGCUGUGUGCUCCUAGCCUUCUAUCUCUCUGUGUGUUCCAGCCUUCUAUUCUCGUGUGUUCCAGCCUUCUGUCUGUGUGUUUCCCAGGCGUUCCGUGGUAG
rnacentral:lncRNA from 1 species